GACGAACGCUGGCGGCGUGCUUAACACAUGCAAGUCGAACGGAAAGGCCCUGCUUUUGUGGUGUUCUCGGGUGGCGAACGGGUGGGUAACACGUGAGUAACCUGCCCUUGACUUUGGGGUAACUUCAAGAAACUGGGGCUAAUACCGGAUAGGAACUCCUGCUGCCCGGUGGGGGUUGGAAAGUUUCGGCGGUUGGGGAUGGACUCGCGGCUUAUCAGCUUGUUGGUGGGGUAGUGGCUUACCAAGGCUUUGACGGGUAGCCGGCCUGGGAGGGUGACCGGCCACAUUGGGACUGCGAUACGGACCAGACUCCUACGGGGGGCAGCAGUGGGGAAUAUUGCACAAUGGGCGGAAGCCUGAUGCAGCAACGCCGCGGGCGGGAUGACGGCCUUCGGGUUGUAAACCGCUUUCGCCUGUGACGAAGCGUGAGUGACGGUAAUGGGUAAAGAAGCACCGGCUAACUACGUG
rnacentral:rRNA from 1 species